GCAGGUAUAGUUUAAUGGCAGAAUAUUUGGCUUCCAACCAGAAGAUGAGGUUUCGAUUACCUUUACCUGCUCCA
rnacentral:tRNA from 1 species